rnacentral:rRNA from 1 species
CGAACGCUGGCGGCAGGCCUAAUACAUGCAAGUCGAACGGCUCUUCGGAGCAGUGGCGGACGGGUGAGUAACGCGUGGGAAUGUGCCCUUAGGUACGGAACAACACAGGGAAACUCGCGCUAAUACCGUAUGUGCCCUCCGGGGGAAAGAUUUAUCGCCUUUGGAGCAGCCCGCGUUGGAUUAGGUAGUUGGUGAGGUAAAGGCUCACCAAGCCGACGAUCCAUAGCUGGUCUGAGAGGAUGACCAGCCACACUGGGACUGAGACACGGGCCAGACUCCUACGGGAGGCAGCAGUAGGGAAUCUUGCGCAAUGGGCGAAAGCCUGACGCAGCCAUGCCGCGUGUAUGAUGAAGGUCUUAGGAUUGUAAAAUACUUUCACCGGGGAAGAUAAUGACGGUACCCGGAGAAGAAGCCCCGGCUAACUUCGUGCCAGCAGCCGCCGUAA